rnacentral:rRNA from 1 species
UACGGGGGGGGCAAGCGUUGUUCGGAAUUACUGGGCGUAAAGGGCUCGUAGGCGGCCAACUAAGUCGGAUGUGAAAUCCCCAGGCUCAACCUGGGAACUGCAUCCGAUACUGGAUGGCUUGAAUUCGGGAGAGGGAUGCAGAAUUCCAGGUGUAGCGGUGAAAUGCGUAGAUAUCUGGAGGAAUACCGGUGGCGAAGGCGGCAUCCUGGACCGAAACUGACGCUGAGGAGCGAAAGCUAGGGGAGCAAACGGG